UCACAAAACCGGUAGCUGGUUGGAGAAAUGAUCACAAUGCUGGGAGCUGGCUGGAGAAAUGGUCAAAAUGCUGGUGCCUGGGUGGAGAAAUGUUCUUGAUUCCAGUGUCUGGGGGCAGGAAUGGUCAUGUUGCUGGUAGUUGGAUGGAGAAAUGAUCACAAUACCGGUAGCUGGGUGGAGAAAUGAUCACAAUACCAGUAGCUGGGUGGAGAAAUGAUCACAAUACCAGUAGCUGGGUGGAGAAAUGAUCACAAUACCGGUAGCUGGGUGGAGAAAUGGUGACAUUACUGGUAGCUUGGUGGAGAUAUGGUCACAAUGCCAUUAGCUGGGUGGAGAAAUGGUCACAGUGCCAUUAGUUGGGUGGAUAAAUGUUUACAAUGCCAUGAGCAAGUUAGAGAAAUGAUCAUAUUGCUAGUAGCUGUGUGGAGAAAUGGUCACAUUGCCAGUAGCUAGGUGGCGAAAUGGUCACAUUGCCGGUAGCUGGGUGGCGAAAUGGUCACAUUGCCGGUAGCUGGGUGGAGAAAUGGUCGCAUUUCAGGUAGGUGGAUGUAGAAAUUGUCACUAUGUCAGUAGCUGGGAGGAGAAGUGGUCACAUUGCUGGUAACUGGGAGGAGAAAUGGUCAUGUUGCAGUUAGCUGGGUGGUGAAAUAGUCACAUUGCUGGUAGCUAGGUGGAGAAAUGGUCACAAUGUUGUUAGCUGGGUUUCGAAAUGAUUACGUUGCCGGUAGCUGACUGGAGAAAUGGUUACGUUGCCGGUAGCUGACUGGAAAAAUGGUUACGUUGCCGGUAGCUGACUGGAGAAAUGGUCACAAUGCCAGUAGUUGGGAGGAGAAGUGGUCUUGAUUCCAGUGCCUGUGGGCAGAAAUGGUCAAAUUGCUGGUAGUUGAAUGUAGAAAUGGUCACAAUUUUGGUAGCUGGGUAGAGAAAUGGCCACAGUGUCGAUAGCUGUGUGGAAAAGUGGUCACAAUGCAGGUAGCUGGGUGGAGAUAUGAUCACAAAACCGGUAGCUGGUUGGAGAAAUGAUCACAAUGCUGGGAGCUGGCUGGAGAAAUGGUCAAAAUGCUGGUGCCUAGGUGGAGAAAUGGUCUUGAUUCCAGUGUCUGGGGGCAGGAGUGGUGACGUUGCUGGUAGUUGGAUGUCGAAAUGGUCGCAAUUUUGGUAGCUGGGUGAAAAAGUGGUCACAAUGCCGGUAGCUGGGUGGAAAAGUGGUCACAAUGCCGGUAGCUGGGUGUAGAAAUGAUCACAAUACCAGUAUCUGGGUGGAGAAAUGGUGACAUUACUGGUAGCUUGGUGGAGAUAUGGUUACGUUGCCAGUAAUUGGCUGGAGAAAUGAUCUCAUUGCUGGUGCCUGGAUGGAGAAAUGGUCACAAUGCCAUUAGCUGGGUGGAGAAAUGUUUACAAUGCCAUGAGCAGGUUAGAGAAAUGAUCAUAUUGCCAGUAGCUGUGUGUAGAAAUGGUCACAAUUCCGGUAGCUGGGUGGAGUAAUGGUCACAGUUCC